GAUGAACGCUGGCGGCGUGCUUAACACAUGCAAGUCGAACGAUGACGCCCAGCUUGCUGGGCAGUUUAGUGGCGCACGGGAGCGUAACACGUGAGUAUCCUGCACUUAACCUUGGGAUAAGCAUGGGAAACUGGGUCUAAUACUGGAUAGGAGCGCUUACCGCAAGGUGGGUGUUGGUAUGAUUUAUCGGUCUUGGAUGGGCUCUCGGCCUACCAGCUUGUUGGUGAGGUGUUGGCUCACCAAGGCGACGACGGGUAGCUCGGCUGAGAGGGUGACCGGCCACACUGGGACUGAGACACGGCACGGAGUCCUACGGGAGACAGCGGUGGGGAGUAUUGCACGAUGGAGGAAAGCCUGAUGCAGCAACGCCGCGUGAUGGAUGGCGGCCUUCGGGUUGUGAACCUCUUACCGUAGGAAUGAAGCGAAAGUGACGGUACCUGCAGAAGAAGCACCGGCUAACUACGUG
rnacentral:rRNA from 1 species